UACGGAGGGUGCAAGCGUUAAUCGGAAUUACUGGGCGUAAAGCGCGCGUAGGCGGCUAGAUAAGCUAGAUGUGAAAUCCCUGGGCUCAACCUGGGAACUGCAUUUAGAACUGUUUAGCUAGAGUGCAGAAGAGGAGUGUGGAAUUUCAGGUGUAGCGGUGAAAUGCGUAGAGAUCUGAAGGAACAUCAGUGGCGAAGGCGACACUCUGGUCUGACACUGACGCUGAGGUGCGAAAGCGUGGGUAGCAAACAGG
rnacentral:rRNA from 1 species